rnacentral:rRNA from 1 species
AUUGACCGCUGGCGGCAGGCCUAACACAUGCAAGUCGAGCGAGCGGCGGACGGGUGAGUACUGUAUGGGGACUGCCCGAUAGAGGGGGCUAACUACUGGAAACGGUAGCUAAUACCGCAUCCUAUCGGAUAACCCAUAUGGGAUGAGCUAGUAGGUGAGGUAAUGGCUCACAUAGGCGACGAUCCCUAGCUGGUCUGAGAGGAUGAUCAGCCACACUGGGACUGAGACACGGCCCAGACUCCUACGGAGGCAGCAGUGGGGAAUAUUGGACAAUGGGCGAAAGCCUGAUGCAGCCAUGCCGCGUGUAUGAAGAAGGCCCUAGGGUUGUAAAGUACUUUCAGUCGGGAGGCGUUACCGACAGAAGAAGCACCGGCUAACUCCGUGCCAGCCGCCGCGGUAAUUC